rnacentral:rRNA from 1 species
CUACGGAGGGUGCAAGCGUUGUUCGGAAUUAUUGGGCGUAAAGAGCAUGUAGGCGGACUGUUAAGUCUGGUGUGAAAGCCCGGGGCUCAACCCCGGAAGUGCAUUGGAUACUGGCAGUCUUGAGUAUGGGAGAGGAAAGUGGAAUUCCGAGUGUAGGAGUGAAAUCCGUAGAUAUUCGGAGGAACACCAGUGGCGAAGGCGGCUUUCUGGACCAAUACUGACGCUGAGGUACGAAAGUGUGGGGAGCAAACAGGAUUAGAAACCCUAGUAGUCC